UAAGACGUUGGGGGAUUAUUCCGACCAGGUGAAAAUGGUGUAAAAUUACAUUGCUACCCCUAUCUAAUCUGAAUCGCCAUCGCCCGAGCGUCUUCCACCUCCGUCCCCGACCCAGCUACUCCUCCGCCUCUGCGCCAGCCAGCCAGCUUCAAUCCAGAUCCAUCUGCUCCUCGACCUCCGACCCAGUUUCCCUGAUGCCCAGGUUUCCCAGGCCGGAUCGGGGAGGGACGGCGUGGGGGAGCGGCGGAGGAGGGGGUGUGCGCAGAGACCAUCGAAGGCAGCGGGGAACGGGUGGCGGCAGUUGCAGCAGCCUCGCCGUGAUUCAGCAAUUCUCCCGAGCCCUGUAAUAAUAAUUAUUGAGUCAACACAUUAAUAUGGUCCCCCCGGACCUCAAUUUCAGUCCAUCAGUAGAUGAGCAGUAUGAAAAAAUGGAUGCCCUAGAUGAUCAAGAUGCUGGAGUACAUGAAGAAAAGGGGAGUACAUGUCUGAGAUUCUUGUCGAGGCAGCGGAA